rnacentral:rRNA from 1 species
AGAGUUUGAUUAUGGCUCAGGAUGAACGCUAGCGAUAGGCCUAACACAUGCAAGUCGAGGGGCAGCACAUGAAGUAGCAAUACGGAUGGUGGCGACCGGCGCACGGGUGAGUAACGCGUAUGCAACCUGCCUACAACAGGGGAAUAACCCGUUGAAAGACGGACUAAUACCCCAUAACACAGGGAUCCCGCAUGGGAAUAUUUGUUAAAGAUUUAUCGGUUGUAGAUGGGCAUGCGUUCCAUUAGCUUGUUGGUGAGGUAACGGCUCACCAAGGCAACGAUGGAUAGGGGAACUGAGAGGUUUAUCCCCCACACUGGUACUGAGACACGGACCAGACUCCUACGGGAGGCAGCAGUGAGGAAUAUUGGUCAAUGGACGCAAGUCUGAACCAGCCACGUCGCGUGAAGGAAGACGGCCCUACGGGUUGUAAACUUCUUUUGUAAGGGAAUAAAGUGUAGUACGUGUACUAUUUUGCAUGUACCUUACGAAUAAGGAUCGGCUAACUCCGUGCCAGCAGCCGCGGUAAUACGGAGGAUCCGAGCGUUAUCCGGAUUUAUUGGGUUUAAAGGGUGCGCAGGCGGGAGAUUAAGUCGGCGGUGAAAUUUUGCAGCUCAACUGUAAAAGUGCCUUCGAAACUGGUUUCCUUGAGUGUGGAUGAAGUAGGCGGAAUUUGUGGUGUAGCGGUGAAAUGCAUAGAUAUCACGAGGAACUCCGAUUGCGCAGGCAGCUUACUAAACCAUAACUGACGCUCAGCACGAUGCGUGGGGAUCAAACAGGAUUAGAUACCCUGGUAGUC